UGGGGAAUAUUGGACAAUGGAGGAAACUCUGAUCCAGCAAUUCUGUGUGUGUGAAGAAGGUUUUAGGACUGUAAAACACUUUUAGUAGGGAAGAAAAAAAUGACGGAACCUACAGAAGAAGCAACGGCUAAAUACGUGCCAGCAGCCGCGGUAAUACGUAUGUUGCGAGCGUUAUCCGGAAUUAUUGGGCUUAAAGGGCAUCUAGGCGGUAAGACAAGUUGAAGGUGAAAACCUGUGGCUCAACCAUAGGCUUGCCUACAAAACUGUUGAACUAGAGUACUGGAAAGGUGGGUGGAACUACACGAGUAGAGGUGAAAUUCGUAGAUAUGUGUAGGAAUGCCGAUGAUGAAGAUAACUCACUGGACAGAAACUGACGCUGAAGUGCGAAAGCUAGGGGAGCAAACAGG
rnacentral:rRNA from 1 species